rnacentral:rRNA from 1 species
AACUUUCAGCAACGGAUCUCUUGGUUCUGGCAUCGAUGAAGAACGCAGCGAAAUGCGAUAAGUAAUGUGAAUUGCAGAAUUCAGUGACAUUACGAAUCUUUGAACGCACAUUGCGCCCCUUGGUAUUCCGGGGGGCAUGCCUGUUCGAGCGUCAUUA